rnacentral:ribozyme from 1 species
CCCUUUCAUGUACUGAGCCUCUACGUGGCGAAAGGGAUCAACAGAUUUACUAGUCUGGCUAAUCAGUA